AUUAACUCAUCUAACUCCUAGGCCCCACAGGAAUCUGCUGGAGGCAGAGAAAUACUUUGGCCCAGAUUCCCACAUGGUUUCUAGUCCCUAUUUCUAGCUGUGCUGUAAAGCUUACAUAACCUAAUUUGCAUUAUGGUGCUAUUUUUAAAAAUCUCCGAAGAUCACUGCUUCAAGCAUCAAUGGAAGCCGUUAGCUCCUACCUAAAAUGAUAAUGUGGGAAAGGAUGUCUAUUCUUACAACUAACUCAACCUGAAUUCUUGACUUAAGACAGUCUUUCUGGAAAAUGCUGUUAGGAAAGGAAGGGAUUCAUUCUUACAUAAGAAGUACUAGCUGUGUGCUCUGUAAAUAACUGCUAGAGAGAAACACAUCAAUAUCAAAACUCACCUCAGCGGCAGACAGUUUCCUGGCUCUGCGGUUCUUAUUCAUUUACCACCCAUCUCCCUUCCAGGUCUCCUGGUAACACUGAGAAGUCUACGUCACUGGAUGGCACGGUAUCAGAUCGUUACAGCGUAUGAGUAUGAAUACAAUAGGACCUUUCUUGUUCUGGAUGACGUCACAGAGACCCUCAUCCCUGGGCCACCACCACCAAGGAGUCACUGGCUUGCACUGAAUGGAGUUAUAGGAAGACCAUUCACAGAGCAGGAUAUUUACAAUAGGCCCAAUUCCAACAACAAGGAGACUCUCAGACUUAAAAUGAUUCCGCUGGGCAGAGCCUCGUUUCACUAGCACCCAGAGAAGGACCUGGCGCAUCACUGGCACUCGGCUGUUUGAUCAGCACUGAAAUGUACUUGGUGUGAGUCAGCUAGACCUCAUCCAACCUUUUAUAGAUGCCAAAGCCACAUUCAACAUACAUACAGAUUC
rnacentral:lncRNA from 1 species